AACGAACGCUGGCGGCAUGCCUAACACAUGCAAGUCGAACGAGACCUUCGGGUCUAGUGGCGCACGGGUGCGUAACGCGUGGGAACCUGCCCUUAGGUUCGGAAUAACUCCCCGAAAGGGGUGCUAAUACCGGAUAAUGUCUUCGGACCAAAGAUUUAUCGCCUUUGGAUGGGCCCGCGUUGGAUUAGCUAGUUGGUAGGGUAAAAGCCUACCAAGGCGACGAUCCAUAGCUGGUCUGAGAGGAUGAUCAUCCACACUGGGACUGAGACACGGCCCAGACUCCUACGGGAGGGAGCAGUGGGGAAUAUUGGACAAUGGGCGAAAGCCUGAUACAGCAAUGCCGCGUGAGUGAUGAAGGCCUUAGGGUUGUAAAGCUCUUUUACCCGGGAUGAUAAUGACAGUACCGGGAGAAUAAGCACCGGCUAACUCCGUG
rnacentral:rRNA from 1 species